rnacentral:lncRNA from 1 species
GUGAAUUUUUGGAAAAUAAUAAAAUAGAGGUGAACACAAGUUUUUCAAUACAAGCAUUGUCUGUUUUAUUAACGGCUUUAUUUUGUUGGUGUGGUGUGUGUAACGGUGUGCGAGAGAAUUGGUGAAUUGAAACGGAACGACUCUAACAGACACAUAUGUUGCUUAAUUAAUGGUAGCGCCACUACUGCCACUAACAAGUAACAAUGUGAGUGUGAGUAAAUGUGUGGGAGAGAGAAUAACGGUAAAAGUUGAAACGGAAAACCGCUUUUCAUAGGAUCGUGACGUGGCAGUUUUAUUAGCUGUCCUUUGUUAUUU